GCCUUUGUGGCGUAAUGGCUAACGCGUCUGACUUCUAAUCAGAAGAUUGCGGGUUGUACGUUCAAAUCCCAUCUUGAUGUA
rnacentral:tRNA from 1 species